UCGCGUGACUCGUGCCUGUGUAGUGACCGCAAUGCACGACGGGUAGAUCCCCACAUUGUAUGUCUGCAAUAAUCAGUAAAUGGUACAUGUAUAUUUAGUAAAUGAUUCACUACAAAACUUAGUUUGUAAAUGAAAAAUAACCCAGAGAGAGGUCAUGGAUUUCACAUUGUACUAGUGGUAGCUUGUGUAUUAUCAAUAGGCACCCUGGUCACGGGUCUUUCGGAUUUAAAAACAGAGUCGCGACAGGCGUCAGUCCUCACUGCUAACACCCUGGGUACCAUACAUUUGUGACACUUUACGUAGAGCUUAUGACGUUUGAAUGUCGGUGAUAAACUCUUGAAAUAGAUACACAAAAAGAUCGUACCUCCAUGAAAGGUGAAGAUAACGAACAGUGAUCAAUCUCAUAACUCCUAUAAGCAAUACAAAACAGAGAGUUGGGCAAAUACGGACCCCUGGAUAUACUAGAGGUGGGAUCAGGUACCUAGGAGGAAUCAUAGACUUAUCAAAUACAGGGAGCAAAAUAAUCCCCCUACCAGUAUUCCGAGAGUGUCUGAGCAGGAAUAUUCGCCCGAUUCCUUUAUAUUUCAAUAGCACCUCUAUGAACACUGGGUUUGAUACCAACUAAUAAAAGUAUUGGUAAACAGUU